CUUUCCUUCUGGUAAUCACACCCCGGUGAGCAUACCACGUUCCCCAAGCGAGAAGAAUCCAGGAGGUGGCGCCGCCGCCAAGCCUUGAUCCCUCGGCGGGGCCGCGAGUGCUUCAAAACCCCAGCGUUUUGCGUCCAGGGGAGAGCUAUGGCCUAUCCGUCUUCGCUUCUUGGAAACGCCGGCAUAGACUCCGGCCCACCUCGUCUGGUCUCUGCGAGAGAGAAGCCGUGACCUUGGAUUUGGGAUCCCAGCCAUGGCGAAAUCCUUUCUCUCUACGAGCUGCGGCAUUGAGGUGAAUCCAACUGUUUGCUCUUUUGAAAUCAGAGAAAGAAGCAGCACAAAUUAUAUUACACAACAAGAUCGACUGCUUUCAUUAUACAACAUGAAGAUUGAAGAACUUGCUUUGCAAGCCGAAUAUCUAGAAUGGCUUAAGCAAUAUUGUAUAUCUACCCCAUGCAUUGUAAGUUAACAUUGCUUGUUUGUUACAAUCAUUUAUUGUUAAUAUUCUGGUGCGACAUGUUGUUUUUAUAUCCUGGAUAUAUAUUGUAUAUCUACCCCAUGCAUUUGUAUCCCUAUGUUUACAAUUCUAAUCAAUAUCAAUAUAUGUGCUUAACCUGCUUUUAUGAAGAA